CCUACGGGAGGCAGCAGUGGGGAAUCUUUGGCAAUGGGCGCAAGCCUGACCCAGCAACGCCGCGUGAAGGAAGAAGGCUUUCGGGUUGUAAACUUCUUUUCUGAGGGACGAAGAAAGUGACGGUACCUCAGGAAUAAGCCACGGCUAACAACAUGCUAGCAGCCGCGGUAAUACGUAGGUGGCAAGCGUUAUCCGGAGUUAUUGGGUGUAAAGGGCGUGUAGGCGGGAAAGCAAGUCAGAUGUGAAAACUCAGGGCUCAACCCGGAGCCUGCAGAUGAAACUGUUUGACUUGAGUGCUGGAGGGGCAAUCGGAAUUCCGGGUGUAGCGGUGAAAUGCGUAGAUAUACGGAGGAACACCAGUGGCGAAGGCGGGUUGCUGGACAGUAACUGACGCUGAGGCACGAAGGCGAGGGGAGCAAACGGGAUUAGAUACCCGGGUAGUC
rnacentral:rRNA from 1 species